GACGAACGCUGGCGGCGUGCUUAACACAUGCAAGUCGAACGGAAAGGCCCUGCUUUUGUGGGGUGCUCGAGUGGCGAACGGGUGAGUAACACGUGAGUAACCUGCCCUUGACUUUGGGAUAACUUCAGGAAACUGGGGCUAAUACCGGAUAGGAGCUCCUGCUGCAUGGUGGGGGUUGGAAAGUUUCGGCGGUUGGGGCUGGACUCGCGGCUUAUCAGCUUGUUUGUGGGGUAGUUGCUUACCAAGGCUUUUACGGGUCGCCGGCCUGGGAGGGUGACCGGCCGCAAUGGGACCGAGAUACGGCCCAGACCCCUACGGGAGGCAGGAGUGGUGAAUAUAGCACAAUGGGCGGAAGCCUGAUGCAGAAACGCCGCGUGCGGGAUGACGGCCUCCGGGUGGUAACCCGCUUUCGCCUGUGACGAAGCGUGAGUGACGGUAAUGGGUAAAGAAGCACCGGCUAACUACGUG
rnacentral:rRNA from 1 species